GAUCUAUUACUGUUAUUUACAUAAGGAUUUGAAUAGGGAACAAGAUAAGACUGUUUGUAUCCACCCAAAGGCGCCAUUAAAUAUGUUUUAAAUAGAAGAGUCUGAGAACAAAGCCCAAAAUGAGUGGAAUGAAGAUAAAGGAUUCGAUAUUUGAGGAAGAAAAAGAAGAGUUUCCUUGAGACGAAAAAAUCCUUGAAAUCUUUCAAAAAUCUUAUCAGAGACCAACGCAUUACAUGUCUCAUGGAUGACAUUUUCCUUCUCGGAUUUCUACGUGCUACAGAAUAUGAUUUGCCAAGUUCUCUUCAGUUGCUUAAGAAUUAUUAUAACACACGAGUAAAUUAUCCGCAAUACAUUAAAAAUCUUCUUCUUUCGAAAAUGGAGGAUGUUGUGAACAUGAAUAUUUUCCAAUUUUUGCCAAAAACCCGAUCAGAACGGAAGCUAUAUUUGCUUUUUCCG